rnacentral:misc_RNA from 1 species
CAACCCUCAAGCUCUGCUUGGUAUUGGGUGCCAUCUAGCGUGGUGCACCUUAAAAUUAGUGGCAGUGCCAUCUGGCUCCCAAGUGUAGUAAUAUAUCUUGCUUUGGAAGUUUGGGUGCGUGCUUGCCAACAACCCCUCUAAUUUAUCAAA